rnacentral:rRNA from 1 species
UACGUAGGGUGCAAGCGUUGUCCGGAAUUAUUGGGCGUAAAGAGCUCGUAGGCGGUUCGUCACGUCGGCUGUGAAAACUGGAGGCUCAACCUCCAGCCUGCAGUGGGUACGGGCAAACUAGAGUGCGGUAGGGGAGAUUGGAAUUCCUGGUGUAGCGGUGGAAUGCGCAGAUAUCAGGAGGAACACCGAUGGCGAAGGCAGAUCUCUGGGCCGUAACUGACGCUGAGGAGCGAAAGCAUGGGGAGCGAACAGG